AACGAACGCUGGCGGCGUGCCUAACACAUGCAAGUCGAACGGUGAUAAGGGGCUUGCUCCUUAUUUUAGUGGCGCACGGGUGAGUAACGCGUAGAUAAUCUGCCUGAUGAUUUGGGAUAACAGUUCGAAAGGACUGCUAAUACCGGAUAAGCCCACGGGGUCUUUGGACUCUGCGGGAAAAGGGGGGGACCUUCGGGCCUUCUGUCAUCAGAUGAGUCUGCGUACCAUUAGCUAGUUGGUAGGGUAAUGGCCUACCAAGGCUACGAUGGUUAGCUCGUCUGAUAGGAGGAUAAGCCAAACUGGAACUGCGACACGGUCCAGUCUCCUACUGGAGGCAGCAGUGGGGAAUUUUGCGCAAUGGGCAAAAGCCUGACGCAGCAACGCCGCGUGAGUGAUGAAGGCUUUCGGGUCGUAAAGCUCUGUCAGAGGGAAAGAAGUGUAUUAUGGCUAAUAUCCACGAUACUUGACGGUACCCUCAAAGGAAGCACCGGCUAACUCCGUGCCAGCAGCCGCGGUAAUAC
rnacentral:rRNA from 1 species